rnacentral:rRNA from 1 species
GAUGAACGCUAGCGGCAGGCUUAACACAUGCAAGUCGAGGGGCAGCACGUCUUCGGAUGGUGGCGACUGGCGCACGGGUGAGUAACGCGUAUGCAAUCUACCUUUUACAGGGGCAUAGCCCGGGGAAACCCGGAUUAAUAUCCUAUAGUACCAUUAUAUAGCAUUAUAUUAUGGUUAAAGUUUCGGCGGUAAAAGAUGAGCAUGCGUCCUAUUAGCUUGAUGGUAAGGUAACGGCUUACCAUGGCUAUGAUAGGUAGGGGUCCUGAGAGGGAGACCCCCCACACUGGUACUGAGACACGGACCAGACUCCUACGGGAGGCAGCAGUGAGGAAUAUUGGACAAUGGGCGCAAGCCUGAUCCAGCCACGCCGCGUGCAGGAAGACGGCCCUAUGGGUUGUAAACUGCUUUUAUACGGGAAGAAACACCCCUUCGUGAAGGGACUUGACGGUACCGUAUGAAUAAGGAUCGGCUAACUCCGUGCCAGCAGCCGCGGUAAUACGGAGGAUACC